UGUUUAACCAAUGUUUACCAU
rnacentral:piRNA from 1 species